GAUCAUGCCAUUGCACUCCAGCCUGGGUGACAAAGCAAGACUAUGUCACAGAAAAAAAAAAAAAAAAUUAGUCAGACCUGAGUUUGAAUCCCAAUGUAAAUUGCUUUUACUACUUGGGUAAUCUCCAGCAAGUUAUCCUUCCGCAACCCAUAACAUUCAUUAUCUAAAAAAUUAUGUCAGUAAUACAUUGCCAUCAUAAAUGGUUCUAGAAAUAUAUGACUAUAGGAUGAAAUACAAACCUCUCCUCCUCCCACUCUUACCUUCCCCUGCUUCCCCCAUGCCUCCUCCCCUUGCCUGAGAUAACCACUGUUAACAGUUGAGCUACAUCCUUUCCAGCUUUUAGAGCAUAUUUUUGUUUACAUGUAUACAUUAUCAUGAAAGUUGCUUCUUUUGCUGAACAGUAUAUCUUGGAGGCUGGAGUACAGUGGCGCCACCCUAGCUCACUGCAGCCUUGAACUCCUGAGCUCAAGCAAUCCUUCGGCCUCAGCCUCCCAGGCUUUGGCGUCUCCAAGUACCUGACCUCAGCUCAACCUGUCUUGGGUUUUCUUCUCCUCCCUGACAUUGACAACCCAGCCCUCCUAGGCACAGAGAGAUGGAGCUGAGUGUGGUUUUCCUGAAAUAAAGCUUGCAUUAUGAGAGGGAAUAAACAGAAGAAAAAAAUAUGUCUGAGGCGCAUGGCCCCGGGAGAGGAGGAGAAUGGGACGGUGGUUCAGAUCUGCUGAUGUAGCUGUGGUCAGUCACUGGGGAGAAUAGGCCUGUGGAUUUCUGCUCCUCUGAGAUGGAUCCAUCACUGACUACUGAACUUGUUUUCUCAUUGGCUCAACUUAAGAAGGUUCUAGAGGGGCUGUUCUGCUUGCUGGAUUGGAAAUGAUUUUAGCCCCUCAUGCCAGGAAGAAAACAUAGGCAGAUUUCUCACCAGCUAAAAAGGAAGGAAAAAUUGUGAAGUGAAAUUUUCUACUGGCUGUGGUUUAUCCAUGUUAAAUUGUAAAGCAUAUAACACAGAUGGAAUCCGGCACAUGCAAAACACUCACAAAACCUAGUUACUACUACUGCUGGCGCUGCGGCUACACGACUACAACUACUACUACAGCCACUACUCUCCUCCUACUGCUACUGCUGCUGCUGCUAGUGUUUCGUAAAGUGGAGCUACAGAAAUCAACAUUUUUUUUCUUAGCUGCACAGUGAAUUCGUUUUUUGGACUCCAGUAUUCUUCCUGAAGGUCUGUUUCAUCCUAGUAUGACUCUCACUUUUUUUUCAAAAUUUUAUUUUAUUUUAUUUUUGAAAUGGAGCCU
ensembl:lncRNA novel transcript, antisense to C7orf33 and CNTNAP2